rnacentral:rRNA from 1 species
CGGGGUGAGUAACGCGUGAGGAACCUGCCUCAAAGAGGGGGACAACAGUUGGAAACGACUGCUAAUACCGCAUAAGCCCACGGCUCGGCAUCGAGCAGAGGGAAAAGGAGUGAUCCGCUUUGAGAUGGCCUCGCGUCCGAUUAGCUAGUUGGUGAGGUAACGGCCCACCAAGGCGACGAUCGGUAGCCGGACUGAGAGGUUGAACGGCCACAUUGGGACUGAGACACGGCCCAG